AGUGUCAAGGGAUGGGAAUCGAACCCACGACCUUCCGCUUACCGGGCAGAUGUCAUGACCACUUGGCCACAUGACC
rnacentral:tRNA from 1 species